rnacentral:lncRNA from 1 species
GCGGUGGAAGGGGUGCCCGCUACCGCUGCCACGGCUGCGAUUUCGACCUGCAUCUCUCCUGCGCCACCUACAACUUCCCCUGCCAUGGUCACCCGCUCAAGUAUCAGCCGCGCUGUCCUUCAGGUGUCCAGUGUUAGGUUGAUCUCUUCCGCGUGGGCCCAACGGCCCACCGGGCCCUUGAUCUAUGCGCCCUGAUCGGGGGCGCCCAACCCGUUAUGGUUGGUGGGCCCCUGUGACGUGCGCUAUAUAUAAAGUGGUGGGGCCGGGGCGCACGGUACGAGGUUCACCGCGCCGCCAGACUCCCCACCUAAAUCCCCUUUCGAUCUAGGGUUAGCGCAGUGCUCACGGGAAGCACCACCCACGAUCACACCUUUUCCCUCACGCCACCGACGACUACACCGGCACUGAUGGCCGGAGCAGGGAGUUCCUCGGGCUCGGGACUAGGUGAGUAAAAGGUUUCACCGGAUCUAUCUAUGCCUAGUCGAUCUACGGCUUUAACAUUGGUAUCAUGAGCCACUAGGCAGAGGUUUAUUCGGUACAAAGAAAAGAAAGCAUUUGUUCCCCAUCCCUACGAACCCUAGAUGGGCAAGGCACUGAGGAUGGCUACGGCCUCGUCAGAAAAGAAGCGCCGCCGCAAGGCCGCGCCUAUUCCUCUCGAUCCCCACACGCAUCGGCAAGCCGAGGUGCGGAGAAGAAGAACCUACCCCCUCGGGGGCUAAGUACGGAUCAAGAUCCGAAAGGAAAAAACAAAAAGAAAGGGGGAACGAUGCAAAACAAGGACAAAAGAAAACAUGUCGGGUCAGAUCAGAAAAGGCAAAAAAGAUAGGGAGAAUGGCAACGAGGCACCACGGCCAACCCACUCGACGGCGACGCGCUCCCCGCAAAGGAACGCGCCACCGGCGAAACCGGAGGCCACGGCGCCAUGUUCCUUUUCUCUGUAAAGAAAAACAUAGGAGAUUCCGGUGAGGGGCUUGGCUACAGCGCAAGCGAAAGGCAGGGUGGAUGGCACCCCAACGCCCCCCUUGACGGCGGCGCACUCUCCCUCGGGAGAGGGCGCGCACCGGCAAGAGGAGCGGAGGGGGCCGCCGCUGCAUGACAUGGUGGCCGGUCGGCAGAUCUGACCCUCUCCGGCGGGGCAAGAGCCUCCACGCGAGAGAGAAAAAAGGGCCGGCCGAGGCUCUCGCUGGCGGGGCGAGACGCCGCCGCGCAGAGAAGCCCGAGCCGGCAAAAAAAGGAAAAAGGGCCGGCCGAGGCUCUCGCUGGCGGGGCGAAACGCCGCCGCGCAGAGAAGCUCGAGCCGGCAAAAGGAAGAAGAAGGGCCGGCCGAGGCUCUCGCCGACGGGGCAAGGCACCACCGCGAACGAGCAGCUCAAGCCGACCACGGGCGAGAAGGACUGAUAGAGCGGCGCGGGUGGGAAAAUGAGGGGUAGGGUCUCCCCUCCCCACCGGCCCAGCCUUUUUGUUCCCCCGAGGGCCGCGGGGGACCGUCCGAUCUGACGGAUGGCCAGGAUCGCCCCCUAUGAAACCCUAGGCGCGGCUCGGGCCUCUAAGNNNNNNNNNNNNNNNNNNNNNNNNNNNNNNNNNNNNNNNNNNNNNNNNNNNNNNNNNNNNNNNNNNNNNNNNNNNNNNNNNNNNNNNNNNNNNNNNNNNNCGUCCAGUGCAACCCGGGCCGCAGGUGUGGCUGAUUGAUUUCAAAAAUAGUUCUCCCCUUCCGCAUAUCGAAUAACAGUUCUCCCUUGCGCAUUACUUCUUUGAUUUGGUACGCUCCAGUGUCUGUAUUAAAAAAUAUGAAUGGUUCUCUUUACCAUGUGAUUUCUUUCAUUGCAUAUGGUCUAUAAUUGUAUCAAAAUUUGGACUGCUUAUUGUAUUGUCUUCAAUAAUGUAAAGUUUAUUCCUGAAUUAAUAAAUUGUUGUUUCGCAAAUGAUUAUUGUUUCGCAAAUUGUGUAUACACUCUGAUCCUUAACAAGUAUGGCUUGAAGACUUACACACCAAGUCUUUGUGUAUAUGCUUUGAUUCUAAAUCAAAUCAUGUUGCUUAAUUACUCAAACCGCGUCUCAAGCCAUUAUUUCUUUUGUGUAGUUAGUUGGGUACUAAUACUACGCGCCCCACACAUGCACGCAUCUUAUACAUCUAGACUAUAUAUAAACCUCCACAGCGCGCUGCAAAACAAAAAACACCCAAUCCCAAACCCAACCCAAGAGGAAGAACACAGGAAGCAAACGUCCAUCGGGCAUGGCGAUCCACCACCACAGCCAUGGGUGCCCGCUUGUCCGCCAUGAGCACGGCGACUUCACCUGCGACGGCUGCGGCCGCGGUGGAAGGGGUGCCCGCUACCGCUGCCACGGCUGCAAUUUCGACCUGCAUCUCUCCUGUGCCACGUACAACUUCCCCUGCCAUGGUCACCCGCUCAAGUAUCAACCGCGCUGUCCUUCAGGUGUCCAGAUCAUCUGCGAUGCUUGUAACACAAAUGUGUGCGGUGCACACUAUGGUUGCGCUGGCUGCGACUUCCAAGUCCACCCCGCCUGCGUCCAGCGUCGGACGACCAUAGUCCCGCCACAGCCAACAACGAAUUGCACGCCGCGGCCCUGUGGGUAUUGCACCGUCUACUGUGUCUAUUGCGUCCGGUGCAACCCGGGCCGCAGGUGUGGCUGAUCGAUUUCAAAAAUAGUUCCACCUUCCGCAUAUCGAAUAAUAGUUGCCCCUUCUGCGUUACUUCUUCGAUUUUGUAAGCUGCAGUGUCUGUAUUUUUUAAAAUAUGAUUGUUUCCCUCAUCUAUAUUUUACUAUGUGAUUUCUUUCACUGCAUAAGGUCCGUAAUUGUAUUGAAAUUUGGAUUGCUUAUUGUAUUGUCUUCAAUAAUAUAAAGUUUAUUCCUGAAUUAAUGAAUUGUUGUCUCGCAAAUGAUUGUUGUUUCACAAAUUGUGUAUACGCUUUGAUCCUUAACAAGUAUGAAUUGUGUGUGCAUCUCGAGUCCUUGACAAAUAAACAAGGUGUAUUUGUCAAUCCAAGUACAAUGAUAUCUAAAAAAAUGUUCAUGUGUUUCAACAUAAUAUUCAUACAAUGUAAGAACGUCUUCACAAAUUGAAAAUAAUGUUCAUACCAUUCAAGAAAAAGCACAUGAUAUCUAAAAAAUGUUCAUUGAUUUCAACAUAAUAUUUUUGAUGCAUUUUAAAAAAUAAUUACACAAUACAAUAAAUGUUUGCAUAAUGAAAAAUAAAAUGCUUGGUACCAUUCAAACAAAAUGUACCUGACAUUUAGAAAAAUGGUUAAGGAAAACUUUAAAAAUGAUAUAUGCAAUGUAAAGAAAUGUUCACGUAAUUUAGAAAAGUUUUGUAUCUAUUUAAAAAAAUUCUGCAUCUAUUGGAAAAAUAUUUAACAUGUAUGUGAAUAAUAUUCAAUGUAUAUCAAAAACAACUAACGCAUGUACCGAACUGUAAAUACGGUUGCCCUAUUGAUAACAUCGUUUCUCGCUACCCCUUGAUAAACACAUGUAUUGGUCGACAUAAUUUUUAUUUUAUUUUAACGGUCAAUGUAAAGUUAAAUAGAGAGAUACCUUUCAUAGAACCUAGCAAUCGAUGGUGUUCUUUCCGUGUAAUGAGGAUGCAUAUUCAAAUAACAAUUUGCAACAUAAAAAUGAGUUUGAUAUCAAUCUAUACGGUGUUCCUAAAAUUUGAAUUGAUAAUUAGUUUUAAAAAUCCGGAUGGCAGUUUUCGGUAUCCGCGGUAACCAUGUUUCUCGCUCCCCUCGCUGAAAUUAAACAUUGGUUUUACGAUAGAAAUGCUAAAACAUCCUUAGAAUUAAUUAAGUGGGAGAGCCCAGGAUACACUAUGUUUACAUACCGUGACGUGUGACAAAUGAAUACACUGUAUCUAAACAUCUAAGAGGCUUCAAAGCCUGUUGAAGCUUCUCUUUUAUUCGUACACAACUACGUUCAAUCCAAACUUGCUAACCCCUCCUUUUCGGUUUACAGGUCUCAUCUUAAAAAUUUCUGAUUUCCGUUAUAUUAGGCUCAUUUUAAGUCUAACUGAAUUAAAAUGCUUUGAGUUUCACGCCAUAUUUAAUUCAUAGAGAUUAGAGAAAAAAAUUAAUGGAUAUGCAUGCAUCUUUUUCUACAUUCAUCAUGCAAGUCCAAUGAAAAGAAGGAUGCUACAUUUAUUGCCUCGAAAAUUAAAUAUGUGAGAAAUAUUUCAUUGGCUAGUUAAAACUAGUGCUAUCCUCUCAUAAUUCACCUUGAUUAAUUGGAUUUUAGAUUUGAGUCCUAUAAACUGAAAAGGAGGGAGUAUAUCCCAAGAUGUAGGAAAAUAUCCGCUUAAAGGAAAGUUUGUCUUGCUUGACUGCCAAACCUAAGACAAACCUUUCCACUCAUGGGGCAAAUGGUGUUAGAUGGGAAAGACCUAAAAAGGAUUGACUGAACCCAAAUUUGGACGGAUCUUUCACAUCUGAUGGAACCGUGGUAUGAUCUUGCGUGACCAUUUGGGAAAAANNNNNNNNNNNNNNNNNNNNNNNNNNNNNNNNNNNNNNNNNNNNNNNNNNNNNNNNNNNNNNNNNNNNNNNNNNNNNNNNNNNNNNNNNNNNNNNNNNNNGUGUAUACGCUUUGAUCCUUAACAAGUAUGAAUUGUGUGUGCAUCUCGAGUCCUUGACAAAUAAACAAGGUGUAUUUGUCAAUCCAAGUACAAUGAUAUCUAAAAAAAUGUUCAUGUGUUUCAACAUAAUAUUCAUACAAUGUAAGAACGUCUUCACAAAUUGAAAAUAAUGUUCAUACCAUUCAAGAAAAAGCACAUGAUAUCUAAAAAAUGUUCAUUGAUUUCAACAUAAUAUUUUUGAUGCAUUUUAAAAAAUAAUUACACAAUACAAUAAAUGUUUGCAUAAUGAAAAAUAAAAUGCUUGGUACCAUUCAAACAAAAUGUACCUGACAUUUAGAAAAAUGAUUAAUGAAAACUUUGAAAAUGAUAUAUGCAAUGUAAAGAAAUGUUCACGUAAUUUAGAAAAGUUUUGUAUCUAUUUAAAAAAAUUCUGCAUCUAUUGGAAAAAUAUUUAACAUGUAUGUGAAUAAUAUUCAAUGUAUAUCAAAAACAACUAACGCAUGUACCGAACUGUAAAUACGGUUGCCCUAUUGAUAACAUCGUUUCUCGCUACCCCUUGAUAAACACAUGUAUUGGUCGACAUAAUUUUUAUUUUAUUUUAACGGUCAAUGUAAAGUUAAAUAGAGUGAUACCUUUCAAAGAACCUAACAGUCGAUGGUGUUCUUUCCGUGUAAUGAGGAUGCAUAUUCAAUUAACAAUUUGCAGCAAAAAAAUGAGUUUGAUAUCAAGCUAUACGGUGUUCCUAAAAUUUUAAUUCAUAAUUAGUUUGAAAAAUCCGGAUGGCAGUUUUCGGUAUCCGCGGUAACCAUGUUUCUCGCUCCCCUCGCUGAAAUUAAACAUUGGUUUUACGAUAGAAAUGCUAAAACAUCCUUAGAAUUAAUUAAGUGGGAGAGCCCAGGAUACACUAUGUUUACAUACCGUGACGUGUGACAAAUGAAUACACUGUAUCUAAACAUCUAAGAGGCUUCAAAGCCUGUUGAAGCUUCUCUUUUAUUCGUACACAACUACGUUCAAUCCAAACUUGCUAACCCCUCCUUUUCGGUUUACAGGUCUCAUCUUAAAAAUUUCUGAUUUCCGUUAUAUUAGGCUCAUUUUAANNNNNNNNNNNNNNNNNNNNNNNNNNNNNNNNNNNNNNNNNNNNNNNNNNNNNNNNNNNNNNNNNNNNNNNNNNNNNNNNNNNNNNNNNNNNNNNNNNNNCUACUAGUGUUGUUUGGUGAGACCUUUUGUGGCGGUACUAUUUAAAGAUUUGCCUUACACUCGGUAAACUCUUGACCACUACCAGACAGCCAUGUGUCCAUCAGGUUUGCCUUACCUUUCUCGGCACAAAGCAAAGCUUUACCGAGUGCGACACUAAUCAAACUCGUGUCCUAGAAGCUAUCACAUAGUGCCACGUGUCAUGUUUGCCUAGCGUUGCAUUGAGGAAACACGUCAUAUUUAAUUUUUGGAAAGCCAUGCAAAUAAAGAUCAAUUCAUUAAAAUAUAUUUUAUCAUCACAUAUAGCUGAAGAACCCAUUGAUGGAAAACCAACCUGAACUUGAAUGGUUAGGAGGACAGUAGCAUUAUCCUUGGACUUAUUUUCAUCGUGUGCGAGUCAUCUAUAAUGACUUCGUAAAAUCCCAAGAUGCCAUGCCGACGCAGUUUUGCAAAGGCAUUCAUAAAGAUAGAAUGUAAAGAUAGAAUGUGCUUCCGUGCGUUCACAAGCUUCGAGUGUAUGCAAGGGCGUUGCCAGGCCCCAGGCUACCUUUGUUGAUUUUAGCUUUAUUUUCUGACAAUAGUUAUCACUGUAGCAAUGAUGUUGGCCCAUCGCUAAUCUCUGACCUGGCUAUGUCAAUUGUGUAUGUGAACCAAUUUGACUGUAGUGUGUUUCAAAAAGAAUUGAUGGACUAGUGGGCGAAAGUAGCCAGUCAAAAAAAAAAAGGAAAGAGAUGAAGUAUACAAAUUAUAUUGACCCCGAGACUAGCUUUUUUUCAGAAAAGAAGGAAGACCCCCGGCCUUUGCAUCUGAGCAAUGCAUGCAGCCAUUUUAUUAAUUAUUUACAAAGACCUUACAAGGUCAUACAUCAGUAAGACUGAAGUCACCGUCUAGACAACAUAUGUCGCUAGUUCUAUAUAGUUGAUGAAGGGAUGCUGAUAGUCUGGGUCUAAUACCAAACAGACCUCGCAGCCAAACCUAACAUCUAAGACCUGAUGCCCCAACCAAGCCACCUGCUUGGUAUGGGGCACCCACCGGUGCGGCGCACACUGACAGGUCGUCGCCGCCAACUGUCAUUAAUACAUCUUCAAAACUGUACUGACGCAUCCACCUUGCCCGGUCUAGCUGCCGUCGACGCCACCACGACGCCAGACAGCGUCGCCCUCCAGCGCGAGUCCAUCCUCGCAUAUCAGACGCCUAAUCACCAGGGCGUCUCGCCAUCGAGAUCCGUCGCCCUCAAUGUACAGGAUGAAGCACCGCUCCACCGAAGAAAACAUCCACUGGUCCCCGAACCCGGGUACACCUCCAAGAGAUGAAGUAUAUAAAUUAUAUUGACCCCGAGACUAGCUGGUGAUUGGAAUUAUUUUCCCAACUGACUAUAAAGGAUAUCACAUGGUCAUCGAUUAGGAAUUCACAAGUCACACUCACAUGCAUGCAUGCAUGCGUGUCAACAUAGCUAAUUCAAUUGUUUUUUAAAUGUGAAAGCCCAAUACUGAGCUACAGACAGCUACACCAAGACUUCUUCUACGUGCUUAUCUGUAUAUGAUUUGGUCGUUGCUUCGUUAAGGACAUCUGAAGCUUGUGUUCGGACGAGCACAUGUACAAGCUCGGUUACAGCCUACACGUAGAUGUAGUUGAAGACUUACACACCAAGUCUUUGUGUAUAUGCUUUGAUUCUAAAUCAAAUCAUGUUGCUUAAUUACUCAAACCGCGUCUCAAGCCAUUAUUUCUUUUGUGUAGUUAGUUGGGUACUAAUACUACGCGCCCCACACAUGCACGCAUCUUAUACAUCUAGACUAUAUAUAAACCUCCACAGCGCGCUGCAAAACAAAAAACACCCAAUCCCAAACCCAACCCAAGAGGAAGAACACACGAAGCAAACGUCCAUCGGGCAUGACGAUCCACCACCACAGCCAUGGGUGCCCGCUUGUCCGCCAUGAGCACGGCGACUUCACCUGCGACGGCUGCGGCCGCGGUGGAAGGGGUGCCCGCUACCGCUGCCACGGCUGCAAUUUCGACCUGCAUCUCUCCUGUGCCACGUACAACUUCCCCUGCCAUGGUCACCCGCUCAAGUAUCAGCCGCGCUGUCCUUCAGGUGUCCAGAUCAUCUGCGAUGCUUGUAACACAAACGUGUGCGGUGCACACUAUGGUUGCGCUGGCUGCGACUUCCAAGUCCAC